rnacentral:lncRNA from 1 species
CCAAGGCUGCCGCCAAGCCCAAGGGCCGCCCCGCCAAGGCUGCCAAGACCUCGGCCAAGGACGCGCCAGGGAAGAAGGCCCCUGCCGCCGCGGCGCCCAAGAAGGCCGCCGCCAGGAAGCCGCCCACCAAGAGAUCCACGCCGGUGAAGAAGGCCGCGCCCGCCAAGAAGGCUGCGCCGGCGAAGAAGGCCCCGGCCGCCAAGAAGGCCAAGAAGUAGAUCCUUGGAGGGAGAUCCUAGGGCUUGGCGAUAGUUUUCCAGUAGCAGUUUUUCCUGUUCUGUGCUGUUAGUCGAGAUGUCCGGGCUGUGUCGGGGGUGCUAGGCUGUAAAUUUGAAAUCUGGGUUGGGGUGCACUGGUGAUCCUGUGCACCCCUUUGUGUGUGUUGUGAGAAACGGUGGCGACGAUCGCGUUGUAGCAAGCUUAUGUAUUUGUGUAACUGAAUUGGGUAAUUGAAUCUUCAUUUUAGCAACAUCCUUCUGAAACUUGUCACAGUUUACAUUGAUUCCUU